UACGAAGGGGGCGAGCGUUGUUCGGAUUUACUGGGCGUAAAGGGCGCGUAGGCGGCCGAUCAAGUCAGGCGUGAAAGCCCCGGGCUCAACCUGGGAAUGGCGCUUGGGACUGGUUGGCUUGAGUUCGGGAGAGGAGAGUGGAACUGCGAGUGUAGAGGUGAAAUUCGUAGAUAUUCGCAAGAACACCAGUGGCGAAGGCGGCUCACUGGCCCGAUACUGACGCUGAGGUGCGAAAGCGUGGGGAGCAAACAGGG
rnacentral:rRNA from 1 species